rnacentral:rRNA from 1 species
UCCCAGACUCCUACGGGAGGCAGCAGUGGGGGAUAUUGCACAAUGGGGGAAACCCUGAUGCAGCGACGCCGCGUGGGUGAAGAAGCGCCUCGGCGCGUAAAGCCCUGUCAGCAGGGAAGAAAAUGACGGUACCUGAAGAAGAAGCCCCGGCUAACUACGUGCCAGCAGCCGCGGUAAUACGUAGGGGGCAAGCGUUAUCCGGAUUCACUGGGCGUAAAGGGAGCGCAGGCGGCAUGGCAAGUCUGAUGUGAAAACCCGGGGCCCAACCCCGGGAGUGCAUUGGAAACUGCCAGGCUGGAGUGUCGGAGGGGUAAGCGGAAUUCCUAGUGUGGCGGUGAAAUGCGUAGAUAUUAGGAGGAACACCAGUGGCGAAGGCGGCUUACUGGACGACUACUGACGCUGAGGCUCGAAAGCGUGGGGAGCAAACAGGAUUAGAUACCCGAGUAA